rnacentral:rRNA from 1 species
UACGGAGGGGGCUAGCGUUGUUCGGAAUUACUGGGCGUAAAGCGCACGUAGGCGGCUUUGCAAGUUAGAGGUGAAAGCCCAGGGCUUAACCCUGGAAUUGCCUUUAAAACUGCAUCGCUAGAAUUGUGGAGAGGUGAGUGGAAUUCCGAGUGUAGAGGUGAAAUUCGUAGAUAUUCGGAAGAACACCCGUGGCGAAGGCGGCUCCCUGGUCCGGUUCUGACGCUGAGACGCGAAAGCGCGGGGAGCGAACGGG